rnacentral:rRNA from 1 species
UGGGGAAUAUUGGACAAUGGGCGCAAGCCUGAUCCAGCAAUGCCGCGUGUGUGAAGAAGGCCUUCGGGUUGUAAAGCACUUUUAUCAGGAGCGAAACGCUGUCGGCUAAUACCCGGCGGAACUGACGGUACCUGAGGAAUAAGCACCGGCUAACUUCGUGCCAGCAGCCGCGGUAAUACGAAGGGUGCAAGCGUUAAUCGGAAUUACUGGGCGUAAAGCGUGCGUAGGCGGUUUCUUAAGUCUGCUGUGAAAUCCCCGGGCUCAACCUGGGAAUGGCAGUGGAUACUGGGAGGCUAGAGUGUGUCAGAGGGUGGUGGAAUUCCCGGUGUAGCGGUGAAAUGCGUAGAGAUCGGGAGGAACAUCAGUGGCGAAGGCGGCCACCUGGGACAACACUGACGCUGAGGCACGAAAGCGUGGGGAGCAAACAGGAUUAGAUACCCUGGUAGUCCACGCCCUAAACGAUGCGAACUGGAUGUUGGUCUCAACUCGGAGAUCAGUGUCGAAGCUAACGCGUUAAGUUCGCCGCCCUGGGGAGUACGGGUCGCAAGACUGAAACUUAAAUGAAUGACGGGGGUCAUAGCUGUUUCCUG